rnacentral:sRNA from 1 species
GACUGGCAGCCCAGUCAAUCACGUCCACCCCACACCGGAACCAAGCAUCUUCUGUGUAACGCGUGGAAGAACAAGGAGAUAAUGACUGUUUGCAUUUACCGCAAAUACAUCUCUGCGGAUCCAUUGCUUCACUAAAUGUUUAGUUUGGUCAAGAAUGUCCACUUCCGCCAAAAUCGGCAGAUGACAACCCAGACCUAUCGAAGGUUUCCGCGCGAGAAAACGCAGGUUGGAUGAACCAAGAUCUGGAGACUGAACGGAGCGAAUAAAGACCGUGAAUUGGGAAGACGUUUGACGUCUGCUAUAUACGCCA